GACGAACCGUGCGAACGUUGUUCGGAAUCACUGGGCUUAAAGGGCGCGUAGGCGGGCGGUCAAGUCAGAGGUGAAAUCCCACGGCUCAACCGUGGAAGCGCCCCCUGAUACUGAUCGUCUCGAGGGAGGUAGGGGCGUGCGGAACUUCCGGUGGAGCGGUGAAAUGCGUAGAUAUCGGAAGGAACACCUGUGGCGAAGGCGGCCCCCCUGGUUGGAUACUGACGCUGAUACGCGAAAGCGUGGGGAGCAAACAGG
rnacentral:rRNA from 1 species